UACAGAGGGUGCAAGCGUUAAUCGGAAUUACUGAGCGUAAAGGGCGCGUAGGUGGUUGAUUAAGUCAGAUGUGAAAUCCCUGGGCUUAACCUAGGAAUUGCAUUUGAUACUGGUCAGCUAGAGUGUGGGAGAGGGAAGUGGAAUUUCCAGUGUAGCGGUGAAAUGCGUAGAUAUUGGAAGGAACACCAGGGGCGAAGGAGACUUCCUGGACCGCUACUGACAAUGAGGCGCGAAAGCGUGGGGAGCGAACAGG
rnacentral:rRNA from 1 species